rnacentral:rRNA from 1 species
UACGAAGGGGGCUAGCGUUGCUCGGAAUCACUGGGCGUAAAGGGUGCGUAGGCGGGUCUUUAAGUCAGGGGUGAAAUCCUGGAGCUCAACUCCAGGAACUGCCUUUGAUACUGAGGAUCUUGAGUUCGGGAGAGGUGAGUGGAACUGCGAGUGUAGAGGUGAAAUUCGUAGAUAUUCGCAAGAACACCAGUGGCGAAGGCGGCUCACUGGCCCGAUACUGACGCUGAUGCACGAAAGCGUGGGGAGCAAACAGG